rnacentral:rRNA from 1 species
ACGGGUGAGUAAUGUCUGGGAAACUGCCCGAUGGAGGGGGAUAACUACUGGAAACGGUAGCUAAUACCGCAUAACGUCGCAAGACCAAAGAGGGGGACCUUAGGGCCUCUUGCCAUCGGAUGUGCCCAGAUGGGAUUAGCUUGUAGGUGAGGUAACGGCUCACCUAGGCGACGAUCCCUAGCUGGUCUGAGAGGAUGACCAGCCACACUGGAACUGAGACACGGUCCAGACUCCUACGGGAGGCAGCAGUGGGGAAUAUUGCACAAUGGGCGCAAGCCUGAUGCAGCCAUGCCGCGUGUAUGAAGAAGGCCUUCGGGUUGUAAAGUACUUUCAGCGGGGAGGAAGGGAGUGAGGUUAAUAACCUUAUUCAUUGACGUUACCCGCAGAAGAAGCACCGGCUAACUCCGUGCCAGCAACCGCGGUAAUACGGAGGGUGCAAGCGUUAAUCGGAAUUACUGGGCGUAAAGCGCACGCAGGCGGUCUGUCAAGUCGGAUGUGAAAUCCCCGGGCUCAACCUGGGAACUGCAUUCGAAACUGGCAGGCUGGAGUCUUGUAGAGGGGGGUAGAAUUCCAGGUGUAGCGGUGAAAUGCGUAGAGAUCUGGAGGAAUACCGGUGGCGAAGGCGGCCCCCUGGACAAAGACUGACGCUCAGGUGCGAAAGCGUGGGGAGCAAACAGGAUUAGAUACCCUGGUAGUCCACGCUGUAAACGAUGUCGACUUGGAGGUUGUUCCCUUGAGGAGUGGCUUCCGGAGCUAACG